rnacentral:tRNA from 1 species
GGGGCCAUGGUAUAACUUGGCAGAACAACAGGCUCCAGACCUGUUAAUGAGGGUUCAAAUCCCUCUGGCCCCA